rnacentral:rRNA from 1 species
CACUAUAGAAUACUCAAGCUAUGCAUCCAACGCGUUGGGAGCUCUCCCAUAUGGUCGACCUGCAGGCGGCCGCGAAUUCACUAGUGAUUUGUCAGUAAUGAUCCAGAAAGCUGCCUUCGCAAUCGGUAUUCUUUCUAAUAUCUACGAAUUUCACCUCUACACUAGAAAUUCUGCCUUCCUCUAUCAUACUCUAGCUGAAAAGUUUUGAUGGCAGUUCCAGAGUUAAGCUCUGGGAUUUCACCACCAACUUUUUCAACCACCUACGAACUCUUUAAGCCCAGUAAUUCCGAACUACGCUAGGUCCCUUCGUAUUACCGCGGCUGCUGGCACGAAGUUAGCCGGACCUUCUUAUUCGGGUACAGUCAUUUUCUUCCCCGACGAAAGAGCUUUACAACCCAAAGGCCUUCUUCACUCACGCGGCAUCGCUGCAUCAGAGUUUCCUCCAUUGUGCAAGAUUCCCCACUGCUGCCUCCCGUAGGAGUUUGGGCCGUGUCUCAGUCCCAAUGUGGCUGAUCAUCCUCUCAAAUCAGCUAUAGAUCACAGUCUUGGUAGGCCAUUACCCCACCAACAAACUAAUCUAGUGCGGGCUCAUCCAAUGGUGCAUAAAGCUUUCUCCGUAAAGACUUAUCCGGUAUUAGCACAAGUUUCCUCGUGUUAUUCCAGGCCAAAGGGUAGAUACCCACAUGUUACUCACCCGUCUGCCACUAAGUAUUGCUACUUCGUUCGACUUGCAUGUGUUAGGCGUGCCGCCAGCGUACGUUCUGAGCCAGGAUCAAACUCU